rnacentral:rRNA from 1 species
GACGGAGGAUGCAAGUGUUAUCCGGAAUCACUGGGCGUAAAGCGUCUGUAGGUGGUUCAAUAAGUCAACUGUUAAAUCUUGAGGCUCAACUUCAAAAUGGCAGUCGAAACUAUUAGACUAGAGUAUAGUAGGGGUAAAGGGAAUUUCCAGUGGAGCGGUGAAAUGCGUAGAGAUUGGAAAGAACACCAAUGGCGAAAGCACUUUACUGGGCUAGUUACUGACACUGAGAGACGAAAGCUAGGGUAGCAAAUGGG